rnacentral:rRNA from 1 species
UGGGGAAUAUUGCACAAUGGGCGCAAGCCUGAUGCAGCCAUGCCGCGUGUAUGAAGAAGGCCUUUGGGUUGUAAAGUACUUUCAGCGGGGAGGAAGGGAGUAAAGUUAAUACCUUUGCUCAUUGACGUUACCCGCAGAAGAAGCACCGGCUAACUCCGUGCCAGCAGCCGCGGUAAUACGGAGGGUGCAAGCGUUAAACGGAAUUAGUGGGCGUAAAGCGCACGCAGGCGGUUUGUUAAGUCAGAUGUGAAAUCCCCGGGCUCAACCUGGGAACGGCAUGGGAUACUGACAGGCUUGAGUCUGGUAGAGGGGGGUAGAAUUCCAGGUGUGGCGGGGAAAGGCGUGGAGAUCGGGAGGAAUACAGGUGGCGAGGGCGGCCGCCUGGACGAAGACUGACGCUCGGGUGGGAAGGCGUGGGGGGCAAACAGG